rnacentral:rRNA from 1 species
ACACAUGCAAGUCGAGCGAUCGGCCAGGGGGUAACUCCCUGGUACGGAGCGGCGAACGGGUGAGUAACACGUGAGGAACCUACCCCGGGCUUCGGGAUAACAGUGGGAAACCGCUAUUAAUACCGGAUACUCUCCUCCCUUCGCAUGGCGGGAGGAGGAAAGGCCCGCCGGACCGGGAUGGUCUCGCGGCCCAUCAGCUUGUUGGCGGGGUAAUGGCCCACCAAGGCAGCGACGGGUAGCUGGUGUGAGAGCAUGACCAGCCACACUGGGACUGAGACACGGCCCAGACUCCUACGGGAGGCAGCAGUGGGGAAUCUUGCGCAAUGGGCGAAAGCCUGACGCAGCGACGCCGCGUGAGGGAUGAAGGCCCUCGGGUUGUAAACCUCUUUCAGCGGGGACGAAGCGAAAGUGACGGUACCCGCAGAAGAAGCCCCGGCCAACUACGUGCCAGCAGCCGCCGUAACAC